rnacentral:rRNA from 1 species
GAUGAACGCUGGCGGCGUGCCUAAUACAUGCAAGUCGAGCGAACAGACGAGGAGCUUGCUCCUCUGACGUUAGCGGCGGACGGGUGAGUAACACGUGUAUAACCUACCUAUAAGACUGGGAUAACUUCGGGAAACCGGAGCUAAUACCGGAUAAUAUAUUGAACCGCAUGGUUCAAUGGUGAAAUACGGUUUUGCUGUCACUUAUAGAUGGAUCCGCGCCGCAUUAGCUAGUUGGUAAGGUAACGGCUUACCAAGGCAACGAUGCGUAGCCGACCUGAGAGGGUGAUCGGCCACACUGGAACUGAGACACGGUCCAGACUCCUACGGGAGGCAGCAGUAGGGAAUCUUCCGCAAUGGGCGAAAGCUUGACGGAGCAACGCCGCGUGAGUGAUGAAGGUCUUCGGAUCGUAAAACUCUGUUAUUAGGGAAGAACAAAUGUGUAAGUAACUAUGCACGUCUUGACGGUACCUAAUCAGAAAGCCACGGCUAACUACGUG